AUUGAACGCUGGCGGCAGGCUUAACACAUGCAAGUCGAACGAGUGGCGGACGGGUGAGUAAUGCAUGGGAAUCUGGCUUAUGGAGGGGGAUAACGACGGGAAACUGUCGCUAAUACCGCGUACCAUAGGAGCGGCCGAUAUGGGAUUAGGUAGUUGGUGGGGUAAUGGCCUACCAAGGCGACGAUCUCUAGCUGGUUUGAGAGGAUGACCAGCCACACUGGGACUGAGACACGGCCCAGACUCCUACGGGAGGCAGCAGUGGGGAAUAUUGCGCAAUGGGGGCAACCUGACGCAGCCAUGCCGCGUGAAUGAAGAAGGCCUUCGGGUUGUAAAGUUCUUUCGGUGACGAGGCGUUAAUCACAGAAGAAGCACCGGCUAACUCCGUGCCAGCCGCCGCGGUAAUAC
rnacentral:rRNA from 1 species